ACAGGCAGCUAGCUGGUUAAACGAGGGAGAGCCACAAACAACACUGGGGUCUGGGCAAGGAGCUCACAGCUGGGACAAAUUCCAUUCGGGCAGUUAUCUUUCCGGCUCCGUUUCAACUCACAGAGAACAGCACUGGACUGGCUACCCCACAUGAUGGUGAAUCCACUGCCUCUUCACAUGUUUGGUACUUGAUUUACGAAAGCACAGCGUUCCUGCUCACGGACUCCUCUGCCCUCCCCGGGACCACACCGAAAUGACUAAAUCUGACUGUUACUCCAGUGAAUCCAGUCAAAUAAAUAAGUCAAUUCUC